ensembl:lncRNA
UGGAGACUCCAUGACAUUGGAGAAGGCAGCUUUCUAUGACAUCUACCAACAACAAAGGCACUGUAAAAUAGAACCAGCUUGAACUUGCCCAACAGACUGUGUGUAGAGAUAAUCUCUUGUGCACUGUAAGAGUAUCCCAUGUCAAUAAAGAGAUGAAUGGUCUAUAGCAAGGCAGGAAGGAAUAGGGUGGACUUCCUGGGAGAGUUAGGAACUCGGGGAAACAGUCAGGCAUGGGAGGAUCCCCCCCAGAUGUGGAGAGGAUGUUGGAUAUAUGAAACUGAGGAGAGAGCUGGAGAGGAGGAGCUACCCAAGUCCUUUGGAACCUGGAAAAUUGUGAGUCUCAGAGAUGCUUUGCCUCCAUUACACCCAGUGAAAACAGUGGUGGGAGGUAUGAGGACAGCAUCCGCAACUGUGACCAAACAGCUACUGUGCUCUCAGAAGACUGAAAUUCUAAUCUAUGCUACAACGGGCCUUUAAGUUCAACACAGAUGAUGUUCUUAUAAGAAGGAAGAUAACUGGGCACAGAAACAGG